GAGGGUAUAGCUCAGUGGUAGAGCAUGUGCUUAGUAUGCAGGAGGCUGUGGGUUCAAUCCCCAGUACCGCCA
rnacentral:tRNA from 1 species